GACGAACGCUGGCGGCGUGCUUAACACAUGCAAGUCGAACGAUGAACCCGGAGCUUGCUCCGGUGGAUUAGUGGCGAACGGGUGAGUAACACGUGAGUAACCUGCCCUUGACUCUGGGAUAACUGCGGGAAACUGUAGCUAAUACCGGAUACGACCCUCGGCGGCAUCGCCAGGGGGUGGAAAGAAUUUCGGUCAAGGAAGGACGCGCGGCCUAUCAGCUAGUUGGUGCGGUGACGGCCCACCAAGGCGACGACGGGUAGCCGGCCUGAGAGGGUGACCGGACACACUGGGACUGAGACACGGGCCAUACUCCUACGGGAGGCAGCAGUGGGGAAUAUUGCACAAUGGGCACAAGCCUGAUGCAGCAACGCCGCGUGAGGGAUUACGGCCUUCGGGUUGUAAACCUCUUUUAGUAGGGAAGAAGCGAAAGUGACGGUACCUGCAGAAAAAGCACCGGCUAACUACGUGCCAGCCGCCGCUGUAA
rnacentral:rRNA from 1 species